rnacentral:lncRNA from 10 species
UCACUUUAACAAAUCUUGCAGCCGCACACUCUUUGGGUCCGCCCGUUUCUCUAAUCAAGUUGUAACACUCGCUGCUGUGGUCCACAGCUUCAUUCCUUGAAGCCCGUGAGACACGAACGCUUCCAUUGAGAAAAACCUUCCAUCAGAAGAAGACUUCUCGUCUCAGUGGGACUGCUGAGUUGAAUGACUUACGGAAAUGGAAGUGAACAUCUGUUCAACUGUCAAGUCACCAGCUAAAUUCAAGUCUGAGAAAAGAAGACAAUCUGUUUAAAUGAAACUUUGUGUGAAUGAAGGCCAGAGUUUUUGGCACUUGUGUUUGCAAAAAAAAAAAAAAAGAAAAAAAUUUUAAACAAUUGUUACUAAAAAAAAAAAUCUUUUUCUAGGAUGACCUUUGUUUGUUUAAACUGUUGGAAAAUCAAUAUUUAAAAUGAAAUCUAGAAACUGAAGUGUGCCCUCUGCAGGAUCACCAGAAUGAUGGGAAAACUGAACACAAUCAACUCAUGAACUCCCCAAGGUCAGAGGUUUGGUCUAAUUCAAUAACUAAUAUCUAGAAGGUAUUCUAGAAAAAUGCAUGUUAACAGAGUGAGCAAAAGUAACAGUCAAAGAAACCCAGGAAUCACAUUUCAUGCCUAUAUUAGUCUGUUCUCACACUGCUAGUAAAGACAUAACUGAGACUGGGUAAUUUAUAAAGGAAAGAUGUGUAAUUAAUUCAUAGUUCCACAUGGCUGGGGAGGCCUCAUCAUCAUGGCAGAAGGCAAAAAUGAAGCAAGACACGUCUUACAUGGCAGCAGGCAAGACAGCGUGUGCAGGGGAACUGCCCUUUAUAAAACCAUCACAUCUCAUGAGACUUACUAUCACAAAAACAGCAUGGAAAAACUCCCUCCCAUGAGUCAGUUACCUCCCACCAGAUCCCGCCCAUGACACAUGAGGAUUAUGGGGGCUACAAUUCAAGAUGAGAUUUGGGUGCAGACACAGCCAAAUCAUAUCAUAUCCUCUGUUUUCCAAAGAUCUUAUAUAAUUUAGUUCUACUUUAGAAAAAUUAAUCCAAUGAUAGUUGGC